ACCUGCGUCGAUGCAAAGAGGGGUCUUGGGGUUUUUUUUCCUCCCCUUGUCCUUUUUUUUCGCCCUGUGCUUGAGCCUCAUUGGGGCGUUUUCGAGCCUGACGGGGCAACUUUCCGGAGCGGGCGGUGUCGGAGGUUGAUUUUUUGGGAGGCGGCGGGCUCGUCCCGCAGGCGCGAGGCUCCGAGUGCAGGAAUUCCUGCCAGCUCGCCUUUGUGCCAGCCUCCGUUGGCCUUGGGUGUCUCGUUCGGAUGGAGCCUGGCAUCCAGGCACCGCCCAUUUCUUGGCAUUGAGCUGCGAGGAGAAGGAAAGGGGAGAGAGCGAGCGAGAGAAGGGAAAAAAAAAAGCUGUCUCACUCAAACUGGCCUUUCUCGGAAAAGGAUCCUUCCCCGAUGAUUGUCCGGAUAAGCGGAGCUAAAUCCAGCCACUACUCAACAACAAAACCACUCUCUUCCACGGUGCGUCUCUCUUGCUGCCUUGUGAUUCUGCAUUUCCUUCAGUAAGCUGGAUGUCUUGGCGUUAGUAGCCACGUCGCUUUGUUCAUGGACACUCCGAGGAGCAGAUCCCUGCCCUGUGGCACGGGGGGAUCAGGCUCUGAUAAGGUGUUGGAAUGAUUGUCCUGUCGUUCCUUGAGUGGCUUUCCAGACAUGUGGAGAGGAGCAGAGACUUCCAGAGCGGAGCUGGGAAGGAGAGCAGAAAGAGGUGAAAUGGCUUUCCUUGCACAGAAAGGACCUGCAGAGCCGGUGUCUGGAUAAGACUCAUCCCAGUGCCUGGAUAGGAAUAUCUCAAUGCUUGGAUAAAGAUCAUCUCAGGCUGCCACAGUCCCAAGCUGUCCUUGAGGCUGAGGUAGUAGAUUGAAUAGUUGUGGAGUCUGGUCCUCCCUCUGAGCUAACUAUACAAUCUACUGUCUUUCCUAAGGAGACAGUCAGGUCUUCAGGUCUGCUCAUCCACUUCUGCACCAGGUGUGGGGGCAGGUGGUGCAACUAAAGCAAAUCCGUGCCUGUGAUCCAUCUGUUCUGCUCUGUGGAGGUGAGGUAGUAGGUUGUAUAGUUUGGUGGGAGGGAUUUGAUCCCAUUUCAGGUGAUAACUAUACAGUCUAUUGCCUUCCUUAAAGAGCAGCAAAACCACCGGUGGGGAGGAGCUCCCGAGGCAUCGCUUCUUUUGUUGAGGAUCCAGAAACGCAGCGUGGCAUUGUUAAACAACUCAGUGGGUGUUUCUCUUACAGCGUCCAAAAUUACAUUCUUCCAGGAAUUGCUUCAUGCCUCAGGCACUGGAGCAUGGAGCCACCUGCUUCCAGGGAACCCACCUCUGUUUAAGGUGUGAGAGAACCAGGGAAAUGAGUUUGCACAGCAGCUCCCAGUGUUCGAUUCUGUUCUUUUUUUGCAGGAGAUGGGCUCAAGUUGUAAAGUGUUUAAGUGUGUUGAUUUUUCUGGUCUGACCUCAGGUCUGGAGGGGACUAGAUAAUUUGGUAUAAAUGGGACAGAUCUGAGCUUGUGAUUGAAUUUUACUGUGCCCAUUUCUGAAGUUGGGGUUCAGAACCAGACUCAAGGGCAAGUUUAGCCUGUGGACUCAGAGCCCUGGGAGCUGAUCAGAUCUGGCUGGUUGGCCCCUGCUCAGGAAGUGCAUUUUGUUUUGGACAAGUUCCCAGCCUGUCCCAUGGAGCAGAGUUAGAGGGUGGUUCUUUCUGAUCUGAUAAUCCCUUAUCAACUCGCUCACAUGCAAACCCUGUCAGGGGAAGUUUAGGGCUCUUGGCUCUUUGUAUAGGAUGAGCCAAUGAUUCAGACUAAAAUCUUGUCCUAAAGUGAAGACAGGUAGGGGAGAGCCAAAGGGAGCAGGUUCUAAUCCUUCUGGGUUCUCCCAGGCACUGUCACCUGACAGCAGACAUGUGAGAAGUCGUCACGCUUCAGAGCUCUGGCCCUUGGCAAGGGACAGGGAAUUGUUAAUUCUUCUCUUUCUUAGGAGCAGGUGGGACUAUCCCUCUGCCGUUUUCCAGAGUAAGUAGGAUCAAGACCACGAGUGGAGCUGUAACACGAUCAGGGCUGCAUCAGGAAGGACAUUUCAGGCCAUUAUCACAACCAUCUUACUGCCAGGGAGACGUGAGAUCCGAGACUCCGGGGAGCGAGGGCAAGCAGAGGACACCUUCUCAGAUGAAGUGGGAGGGAGGGAGCAAGGAGAAAUUGGAGCCCACAAAUUUCACCCUGAGCAGAGGCACAGGGAGAGCCAGACCUGGCUGCUGGGUCCGUGGGAGUCCCCAGAAUGAAGCAGCUCCUUUCAGUCCCCUCUGCUGGGACAGGGCGUAGCUGCAGCGAGGCUGGGACACAGCUGGUGGGUGGGGAUGCUGCAGUUCCAAGCAGCGAAGGAAUGCAGCCCUCUCUCCAUAAAUCUGGCUUUUCAGCAGUCCUGGCGACUUGCUGUGCAAAACUACAGCUUGGUCCUCUGAGCUGCAUUAUUAUCCUCCAGCUGCUUGCUCAGGGGCAGGGCGCCUGCCCACAGAUUGCUUGGAAGGUACCAAAAUAGCACCACAAGCAUGGGAACAGGGCGGUAUAUACACUUCAUCUGGAGAGGUGUCCCCUGGAAAAGAGCUAAUCCCACGUGUCCCAAAUGGAAUCUGUUCAGUGCCCCUCCGUGGCAUUGAUACUGAGAAGCUCAAACAGUGGAACUGUGUGACCUGGAAGCUGUGAAUAAAGUAUUACUGGAGAUACUCCCUUGUGAAAAUAAACUUGGUUUGACUUUUUUAAAA